rnacentral:tRNA from 1 species
GGGGCUGUAGCUCAGGGGUAGAGCGCUCGCUUCGCAUGCGAGAGGUCCCGGGUUCAAAUCCCGGCAGCUCCA